GACCGGCACUAACAAGUAACAAGCAACCAAGUAAGAAAUUUUGUAGUAAUUCAUGAUGUUCUUUUUUUUUUAUAGUAUCUUGACCAGAGCUUGCGCGGAUAGCCUCAAACCUUACUGUAUUUAUUUUAUUGACAUUUUAAAAAUAAAAAAUCAACUUGGCUAAGUUCACUCGCUUAUCGCUCGUAACGAUUCCAAGCACCACCUCUUCUCUUUUGUGGCAUUGUUGUGCAUAUACGCUCCCGAAG